AUGAUUUCAUGGGCCUCGUCUCUGCCUCGGAAGCUCGUGGUGGCGGCCGCUCUUCUUGCGCUGUCCGUGGCCAUCGCGGCGUCGCCUGCGCCGGCGAACCAGAGCAGCUGCUACAAGCGUCUAUUCAGCUUCGGUGACUCUCUGAUCGACACCGGCAACUACAUCGUCCACUUCUCCGCCACGCCGGGUCCGGUCGUGGAGUUGCCAUACGGCGAGACCUUCUUCGGCCGGCCCACCGGCCGCUGGUCCGACGGCCGCCUCAUCGUAGACUUCAUCGUGGAGAGGCUGGGUUUCCCGUACUGGCCAGCGUACCUGCAGGCGGCGGCCGGGAAGUCGCCGGCAGAGGAGUUCCGGUACGGCGUGAAUUUCGCUGUGGCCUCGGCCACGGCGUUGAGCCAGGAUUUCUUCAGGAAGAAGCGCCUCCGUGUUGACCUGAUGCCCCCCUACUCCCUCGACGUCCAGAUCGGGUUGUUCAAGAAAGUUGUCGCCGUGCUCGGCUCCACGGACCAAGAGAGGAAGGCGGCAAUGGCGAGCUCGCUGUUCCUGGUGGGGGAGAUUGGCGCCAACGACUACAUCCAACCCUUGUUCCAGAACAAGACGCUCGAAUGGGUCAGGCCCCUCGUACCCCGGAUCAUCAGGUCCAUCGCUCUGUCCAUCGAGGCUCUAAUCGAGCUGGGCGCCAAGACCAUGUACGUGCCAGGCAUCUUCCCCAUGGGGUGCACCCCGCUGUUCCUCGGCAUCUUCCCCGGCGACGACCGCGACCCCGCCACAGGCUGCCUCCGGUGGCUCAAUGACCUCACCCUCGUCCACAACCACAUGUUGAAAUCCCAGCUCGACGAGCUCCGCCGCAACCAUCCGGGCGUCUCCAUCACUUACGUCGACUACUAUGAGGAGAUGCUCAGCCUGGUCACCAAGCCGGUGGAGAAUGGGUUCGCUGCAGAGACGGUGCUGGAUGCGUGCUACCCCGUCUUCGUUCCUGGGAGGGGGGUGGUGCGGUGCCCGGACCCGUCGAGGUACGUGUCAUGGGAUGGUGUACACUUGACGGAGGCAGCAUAUAAGAUCAUGGCCCACGGGAUGCUUGACGGCCCGUUUGCCAUGCCGCCCAUCAUGUCCACAUGCAACCGCAACUGCUAG
rnacentral:rRNA from 1 species